AUUGAACGCUGGCGGCAGGCUUAACACAUGCAAGUCGAGCGGGGGAAGGUAGCUUGCUACCGGACCUAGCGGCGGACGGGUGAUCAAUGCUUAGGAAUCUGCCUAUUAGUGGGGGACAACAUCUCGAAAGGGAUGCUAAUACCGCAUACGUCCUAUGGGAGAAAGCAGGGGAUCUUCGAACCUUGCGCUAAUAGAUGAGCCUAAGUCGGAUUAGCUAGUUGGUGGGGUAAAGGCCUACCAAGGCGACGAUCUGUAGCGGGUCUGAGAGGAUGAUCCGCCACACUGGGACUGAGACACGGCCCAGACUCCUACGGGAGGCAGCAGUGGGGAAUAUUGGACAAUGGGGGGAACCCUGAUCCAGCCAUGCCGCGUGUGUGAAGAAGGCCUUAUGGUUGUAAAGCACUUUAAGCGAGGAGGAGGCUACUUUAGUUAAUACCUAGAGAUAGUGGACGUUACUCGCAGAAUAAGCACCGGCUAACUCUGUGCCAGCCGCCGCCGUAA
rnacentral:rRNA from 1 species